rnacentral:rRNA from 1 species
ACACGACUACAUUAGAUACCCCGGUAGUCCUAGGCGUAAAUGAUGCGAGUUAAGUGUGGGGGCAUCUACGAGAUGGCCCUGUGCUGUAGGGUAGCCGUUAACCUCGCUGCCUGGGAAGUACGGUCGCAAGGCUGAAACUUAAAGGAAUUGGCGGGGAGCACCACAACGGGUGGAGCCUGCGGUUUAAUUGGACUCAACGCCGGAAAUCUCACCGGAUAGGACAGACAUAUGAUAGUCGGGCUGAAGGCUCUACUUGAUGAUCUG